rnacentral:rRNA from 1 species
UACGGAGGGUGCGAGCGUUAAUCGGAAUCACUGGGCGUAAAGCGCACGUAGGCUGUUUUGUAAGUCGCAUGUGAAAGCCCUCGGCUUAACCGAGGAAUUGCACUUGAAACUGAUGGGCUGGAGUUCUGGAGAGGGUGGCGGAAUUCCCGGUGUAGGAGUGAAAUCCGUAGAUAUCGGGAGGAACACCGGUGGCGAAGGCGGCUUUCUGGCAUACAACUGACGCUGAGGCGCGAAAGCUAGGGGAGCGAACGGG